GAUGAACGCUAGCGGCAGGCCUAACACAUGCAAGUCGAGGGGUAACUAGAGUGAUAGCAAUAUUACUUUGGCUAGACCGGCGCACGGGUGCGUAACACGUAUGCAACCUACCUUAUACUGGGGAAUAACUUCGAGAAAUCGGCGCUAAUAACCCAUAACAUUGCGAAGAGGCAUCUCUUUGCAAUUAAAGCUCCGGCGGUAUAAGAUGGGCAUGCGUCCAAUUAGCUAGUUGGUGAGGUAACGGCUCACCAAGGCUACGAUUGGUAGGGGUUCUGAGAGGAUGAUCCCCCACACUGGUACUGAGACACGUACCAGACUCCUACGGGAGGCAGCAGUGAGGAAUAUUGCGCAAUGGACGAAAGUCUGACGCAGCCAUGCCGCGUGCAGGAUGACGGCCCUAUGGGUUGUAAACUGCUUUUGUACGGGAAUAAACCCUUCUACGUGUAGGAGGCUGAAGGUACCGUAAGAAUAAGCACCGGCUAACUCCGUGCCAGCCGCCGCAGUAAAAC
rnacentral:rRNA from 1 species